AAAGGAAAAAAAGGGCUUCUGGAAGAGACUCACUCAUCUCUUCACUUCGAAGUCUAGUAGAGCUUCUGCUUUAGAGGACCAUGUCCCUGCUGCUGAGCAGCUAGAGGAGGACGUCACAGAAAAUGACAUCAUUUUAAGGCAAUACAAAAUUGGUGACAAGCUGGGCAAAGGUGGAUUCGGCUCAGUCUACAAAGCCACACGCCGCAGGGAUGGACUUGAGGUUGCUGUGAAAUAUGCUGUAAAGUCACCGAUGAUGAAGGAAAUGAAGGUG